GGUCAAUCUUUCUUCAAAGUACAAAACGUGGAAAAUUAACAAGCUUAUGUUGGUAGGGAAGUUCUCCUGAUACUUUCAUGUUGUUGCAUCCCUUCAAAGUCUGUUCAAAGUAUCAAAGUAGAAAAUAUCUACCCAUGCAACUGCGCUUGCACGGGAAUCGAGCCCGUGAGCUCUGGCACACUAAGCGAGAAUCAUACCACUAGACC